UGCAUCGGAACGUACCGUGUAGUGGGGGAUAACGUAGCGAAAGUUACGCUAAUACCGCAUACGCCCCGAGGGGGAAAGUGGGGGACCGCAAGGCCUCACGCUAUAUGAGCGGCCGAUGUCGGAUUAGCUAGUUGGUGGGGUAAAGGCCUACCAAGGCGACGAUCCGUAGCGGGUCUGAGAGGAUGAUCCGCCACACUGGGACUGAGACACGGCCCAGACUCCUACGGGAGGCAGCAGUGGGGAAUUUUGGACAAUGGGGGCAACCCUGAUCCAGCCAUUCCGCGUGAGUGAAGAAGGCCUUCGGGUUGUAAAGCUCUUUCGGCAGGAACGAAACGGUGAGCUCUAACAUAGCUUGCUAAUGACGGUACCUGAAGAAGAAGCACCGGCUAACUACGUG
rnacentral:rRNA from 1 species